rnacentral:rRNA from 1 species
CCUACGGGGGGCUGCAGUGGGGAAUAUUGGACAAUGGGGGCAACCCUGAUCCAGCCAUGCCGCGUGUGUGAAGAAGGCCCUCGGGUUGUAAAGCACUUUCAGUGAGGAAGAACGCCUGGUGGUUAAUACCCAUCAGGAAAGACAUCACUCACAGAAGAAGCACCGGCUAACUCCGUGCCAGCAGCCGCGGUAAUACGGAGGGUGCGAGCGUUAAUCGGAAUUACUGGGCGUAAAGCGCGCGUAGGUGGCUUGAUAAGCCGGUUGUGAAAGCCCCGGGCUCAACCUGGGAACGGCAUCCGGAACUGUCAAGCUAGAGUGCAGGAGAGGAAGGCAGAAUUCCCGGUGUAGCGGUGAAAUGCGUAGAGAUCGGGAGGAAUACCAGUGGCGAAGGCGGCCUUCUGGACUGACACUGACACUGAGGUGCGAAAGCGUGGGUAGCAAACAGGAUUAGAUACCCUUGUAGUC